rnacentral:pre_miRNA from 1 species
GUAGUAUUCCCUCCGUCCAAAAAUUCUUGUCUUACAUUUGUUUAGAUACAGAUGUAUCUAACACUAAAAUGUAACUAGAUACAUCCGUAUUUAGACAAAUUUAAGACAAGAAUUUUGGGACGAAGGGAGUACAAA